rnacentral:rRNA from 1 species
AUGGAUGAGCAAGAGGAGCAAAGUAUAGUCGAUAUGACAGAAUCAGAUGCAUCAGACGGCAUGCUGAUCGAUGGCCUGAGAACAUUUUUACAGAAAAGACAAGAGAGGAAGCAGGAGAGGAGUGCUUUGAAAGAGAAAAGGAAGAAGAGGACAAGGCCAGAGAAAGGAAAAGCCAAAGGGCACAUGAACAAAGGAAGAGCAACUGCAUACAGCAGGUUUAGCAUUGGAUAUUUCGCGAAGAUUGUUGAUGUUGUGUGCCAAAGCAAUCAUAGGAUGGAGGUUGUGAGGAACGGCGGUUUUGGAUACUUGCUCGAGCUAGAAGAUUGCUAUGUUCCAAGGCCUUUUGCUCGAAUGGAAGAGGCAGGAAGAAGAGAAUGA